UUUGUGAAAACCAAAUUUUUUUAUCUGGUAGGUAAAGAUAAAGAUUUUCAGUUUAAUUAUCUUCAAAAUUCUGUGUGUGGGGAAGUGCCUGGCGGUGGUGGUUGGGCACUUGAGCUUGGAGCUGGCCAGGGCAGUGGAUGGGGAAGAGGAGAUUGCUGCUACUGUUGUCGUUUUGUGUAUGCUACAGCUGCAAAAUUCUGUGUAAGUCAAUCCUAGGCGAGUUCUGUAUUGUUAGCCUUUGUGGUGACUGCUACACGAUCCUGUAAUGCAUUCUGGGAGUGUUGUUUCUUUCAGUUGUUUCAAUUACUAGAUUAGCAGCAAAAUGCAUCCAUGUCAAUGUUGGAUUUUACUUCCUGAUUCUCAUUCCAAGUUCUGCAGGAAAGAAACAAGGAGAAUAUAGCUCUUAAUUGAAGCAAAUAGGAUUUCGUCAAGGUUGUGCCUCAAUAUCAUGGAUGCGCCUAUGCAUGUCAAUUUUUCUAACGAGAUGAUUUCUGCUCUUGGGCUAGCGGAUAGGGUUGUGCUUGUUGUCGAUGCUGCUGAGGUCGGCAUGAAUUGGGAUAUGACCGCUUACACAUCCGGGACACAAGGGGCCGCCAUAGCUUGGUUUGUCUCUUUGGACUGCCACAGUGCCCAUCCGGGCGUCUUUGGAUCCUCGGCCAUGGGCCUUGCUGUCUAUGGAUCAUACGCCACUGGUCAUGUUUCGCCACCUGUCUCUCAGGACAACCACCCCUAUGUUCGGUUCGGGAGGCACCGGAGGGAGCCGACAUGGUCAUCAUCAUUCCGUGAAUGAAUAAACUCUUCAAGAUCACUUGUGCGGCUCGGUUAAAGGUAAACAUGUCCAUAGUAUCUUCGUAAGCAUAUAAGUAAUAAUUUGUAUUAGGCAUGAUUCUCGUUCAACUGUCUAGAGAUUGUAUAGUUGUUUUGACGCAUUAGAUCAGUCCGUACAUACAAAUUGGUUUCAUUGAGAUGUGUUCCUUUUCUAUCAUGUCAAUGACGAAUAUACACUAUAUUUCUUUCCUCAUAAUAAAUUGUCAAUUCUUUGAGAUGGGUGAGGAAAAUCGUCAAGAUUAAAGAAUUGCAGGUUGAAAAGGUAUAUUGUUUAAUCCCAUCUUAUUUUCACAAUACUCGGUUUGAUGUUUUUUGGAAGAUUAGAUUGAAAAACAACCAAUUUUUCUAUCGUACUUGAGUUGGGAGUCAUUGUAGAUAACGUUGUGCAGGUUAAAUUUAUGCUCACUGCCCACACUACCGUAAUUCAUGCAUGUUGGUGCUUUCCAGGUGACGUGCCCAACAUGCUUUUGCUCGAGAAUGGCAAUGGGAAGUGAGUAUCGCCCAUGUAUAGAUCCCUUUAAUAGAUGUUGUUGAAUUUGUCGUGUGUCUGCUACUUAUGACAUUUUCCUUCUUGUAGUGUUGUGCUAGGGCCUGAAUCAGUUUUUGAUGUAUACUCUGAAGAGUUACACUGCUAUGAAGUUGGACAACAUUGAAUACAACCAGUGUUGAAGUAUACCAACCGCAUCAGCUUCCGAGUCCAUCGACAAUCCGAGCUUUGUAUCUUUGAGGUUUCAGAUA